GAGGCUAAGCUAAUCUCUUAAAGCUUCUCUCAGUUCGGAUUGCAGGCUGCAACUCGCCUGCAUGAAGCCGGAAUCGCUAGUAAUCGCGGAUCAGCACGCCGCGGUGAAUACGUUCCCGGGCCUUGUACACACCGCCCGUCACACCACGAGAGUUUGUAACACCCGAAGUCGGUGAGGUAACCUUUUUGGAGCCAGCCGCCUAAGGUGGGAUAGAUGAUUGGGGUGAAGUCGUAACAAGGUAGCCGUAUCGGAAGGUGCGGCUGGAUCACCUCCUUU
rnacentral:rRNA from 1 species